AGAGUUUGAUCCUGGCUCAGAACGAACGCUGGCGGCAGGCUUAACACAUGCAAGUCGAACGCAUCCUUCGGGGUGAGUGGCAGACGGGUGAGUAACGCGUGGGAACGUGCCCUUCAGUUCGGAAUAACCCAGGGAAACUUGGGCUAAUACCGGAUACGUGCGAGAGCAGAAAGAUUUAUCGCUGAAGGAUCGGCCCGCGUCUGAUUAGCUAGUUGGUAGGGUAAUGGCCUACCAAGGCGACGAUCAGUAGCUGGUCUGAGAGGAUGAUCAGCCACAUUGGGACUGAGACACGGCCCAAACUCCUACGGGAGGCAGCAGUGGGGAAUAUUGGACAAUGGGCGCAAGCCUGAUCCAGCCGUGCCGCGUGAGUGAUGAAGGCCUUAGGGUUGUAAAGCUCUUUCGUCCGGGACGAUAAUGACGGUACCGGAAGAAGAAGCCCCGGCUAACUUCGUGCCAGCAGCCGCGGUAAUACGAAGGGGGCUAGCGUUGUUCGGAAUCACUGGGCGUAAAGGGCGCGUAGGCGGCUUGAUAAGUCGGGGGUGAAAGCCUGUGGCUCAACCACAGAAUUGCCUUCGAUACUGUCUGGCUUGAGACCGGAAGAGGUAAGUGGAACUGCGAGUGUAGAGGUGAAAUUCGUAGAUAUUCGCAAGAACACCAGUGGCGAAGGCGGCUUACUGGUCCGGUUCUGACGCUGAGGNNNGAAAGCGUGGGGAGCAAACAGGAUUAGAUACCCUAGUAGUCC
rnacentral:rRNA from 1 species